AGUGAGCUCCGGCAUCCGGUGGCCACUGAGAGGAAGAAGCUGGCGCCCGCUGGUAACAGAAUCUCAGCGGGCGCCCGACUUCUCCCUGGGUUAGGUGAGCCGGAGGAGACGGAACUGCGUUCUACCUCCAAAUGGAACUGAUGGAACGCAGUUCCGCCCAGUUCGGCUCACUUUAACCUCUGGGCCUCACAACAAAGCUUCCUGGACUCAUGCAGGAACUAUGAUGGUUAAAAAAUCAAUGGUACAGUAUCCCAUAGUUUGUUACCAUCGUUGAUGGUAACCAUCGAUAGAAAGUGCUCCGAUGGCCAUCCAUAGUCUGAAAUAGGUGUCUCAUCAGUAUCUGCAACUCUGGCUACACGUCCAAGACACUCCCAUGGCACGCCCCUACCAGGCUACCAGUAGAUGGUUCUCUUCCGUGCGCUCACCCAGUUGACACACUUUUCAUGUACGAGAAACCACUAAAUAUGUGACCACCUAGGCACGUAACUGGUCACAUACAAAAGAUCACAGUGUUGAUGGUGGAGAAGACCAAUCUAGUCUAGUGUCCACAUGUGCGACACAGGGGGUCCCCUAUGAAGGCUGCACACGGACCCCUCCUCUCUUAUUCCGCUCCUUGUGUUAUGUUAUCUAGGCCAAUAGACUCAGCAGGAAUUAUAUACAACGAUUCAGCAGUUGCGAUCAGUGAUUACAUUGCCUCGAUUAAGUACUGAGUGUCUCGUUCUGCUCUUUGUACAGCUUCUGACAAACAAAAUCUGAUUGAGAACGAUGGUGCCUAUCAGGCUCUGGGACCCCGUAACGAAGACCCGUACAGCCAGCCAGCCCCACGCAUGAAGACAGGUGCUUUCUAACAAGGACUGAGCGCCAACAAAGAGCAGCAACUGUUUAUUGUGUAACAUGACGUCACUCAGGAGAAGUGCUGUCUGUGGCACAAGUUAGAGGGUAUGGUCUUGGAAAAUGUGAUGUGUAUUUGUCUUUCUUCGCUAAAUAAAAGCAUGAGAACAACGGAAA